AUGCUCGAUUUUGCAGCACUUAUACUAAAAUUGGAAUGAUACAGAGAAGAUUUGCAUAGGUCAUGUGCAAAGAUGACAUGUAAAUUUGUGAAACUUUUAGUCCAGUC